GGAUCAAUCAGCUUAGAAUAAAUUAGGGCACAGAAUGCCCAAAUCUCAGAACUUUAAUACCAGAAGGCUUCUUUCGUGCUGAUUCAGUGCCCAUUGUUAAGUCUGAUUUUGUCUCCAGGUCAACUACCCUAGAUACCCCUUUUUCUACCAACAUUCCAAGCUGGAGAAUGGAGAAUGCACUCCCAGUAGCUGCCAUGUGUAACAUGAGACAUCCUCAGUUGCUAUCCUCAUAGAUCUUUGCUUCUCAUGGUUGUCAUUUUCAUGCCAAACUCAGCCUGAUGACACUUGUGCUUUCUGGAACACUGAUGGACGUCAAG
rnacentral:lncRNA from 1 species